rnacentral:rRNA from 1 species
UACGUAGGGGGCAAGCGUUGUCCGGAUUUACUGGGCGUAAAGAGCGCGUAGGCGGAGACUUAAGUGUGGCCUGAAAGCCCACGGCUCAACCGUGGAGGGUCAUUGGAAACUGGGAGACUUGAGUGCAGAAGAGGAAAGUGGAAUUCCAUGUGUAGCGGUGAAAUGCGUAGAGAUAUGGAGGAACACCAGUGGCGAAGGCGACUUUCUGGUCUGUAACUGACACUGAGGCGCGAAAGCGUGGGGAGCAAACAGG